AAGCCACGUUCGAAAACAAAUCACAUUAAUUUCACCUCAACCACAAACUAACUACCGACUCAACACCCACACCGUCACAAAUAAGUUAAUAAUUUCUCCUCUCCCGCACCUACCGUUAAGUUAUUCAUAGAAAUUGAAAUUCCAAGUUAGGCGAGCAACAUAGUGAUGCAUCAGCACGGUCGAGCGACGGGCGCUCCGCUCGCUUGCCCACGCCGCUCGUGGCGACUGACGAGCCACGCUCGCUCGCUCCAGUCUCCAACCAGCCUCGACCGCGGGCGCGCCUCCCGCCGGCCACACCAACACAAACCCGCGAAAAAACGCGAUGUUUACCUAAACUGUGGAAUGUGGUGUUAAAGAAAAAAAAGAAAAUUAGUGACAGUGAUACGAGUUCGGGAUCAGCUCAAUCGUGAUUUAUAGCCGAUUAAAGCAGCCGAGAAAAACAGAAUUAAAGAAAAAAUCAAUCUCAACUUGUGUUAAAGUGGAACUGCACCGUAGGCAGAGCCAGACGCGUCCGUCAACAGUGCCAAUUGUAUUAUCUGAAGCAGCAGUGUCAAAAGUGUUGUACCAUGAGUGUGUGGUGUCAGUGAUGGGUUGGUGAGUGAUGUGAGUGGAGUGAGUGGGGAUGAGUCGGCACCAGCUCCGGGUGCCGGAGUUGCGGGUGUCGGGGGCGCCGCCGGAGCCGCAGCCCGAGGAUGACACGCCGCGCGCGCUGCCACCCUUCGCGCUCACGCUCGCGUCCAUACCGCGGCGGAGGCAUUCGUGGAUCUGUGGGUAAGCGACCGACUAUAUUAUAAAUCUUCGUGAAAGGUAGAAGUACUACAAACUAGCUUUAAUUUAUGAAACGAAACGGGUUGUUGCAAAAAUAGUAGUUAUUGUAAUUCAGAAAGAAUGCUUGUCACUCCUCACUUUACAUAGAUAAAUUAAUUAAUUAUUACAAUAAUAAUUCUUUACUCAUGCUCUGAAAAUGGGUCAAGAACAUAAGACUUACCAAACGAGAGGGUAAAACAAUUUCUUUGCAUCCCUGAAACAACUUUUAAAGACUCUAUUUUGAUAGGAAUAUCCAGGCUCGAGCAUUCUACUUUCGGGCCUGCAAAUAAAGGUCUUUAUAACUUUCUCAUAAAGUGAAAUGGCAAACGACUGACACUAUGUUUCAACCUUAAUUGUUUAUCUAGCUUGUAAAGCCCCGAUUAACUAAAUCGAUUUGAUUAAUUGGUUUGUGUCGGAUCAAGGGUAGCAAAGUUUGUUAUCUUAGUUCACCACGAAUCCCAGGACUAAGUAAGUAUAAAAUAAACAAGGCAUAUUUCCGAUGACGGCGGAUUUGUUAGAGGUGUAUUACUGGUUUAAAUUAUUAAUAAGCAAUUUUUAGGAAAUUUUAAAUGAAAGUUACAAAAAAUAUUAAAUUAUUUUGAUUCUAUGGAGGUACCAUAAUCGUUACCAAUAUUUUUUUCAUGCUUUAGUUUGGAAAGUGUGAGUGAAAGAUGAAAAAAGGUAAGUGAUUUUUUAUUUAAGCUUAUUCCUUAUUUGACUCAUAAUGUUACAGUGGUUAUUUAUUUUAGGUAUUAUUUCGAGAAUCUGACUCUUCUUUAGACUUCAGCAUAACGUUUGUCAAAGUAAAGGUAAGUAAAAAACGUUAUUACAAAAGAGAUUAUAAUUGUUAUUGUCUUGUUCUACAGAAAAAAUACAAAAUUUACGGAAUCCAGCAAAAGCACAAAGCAACUUAAAAUGCAAUUAUAUUAUACAGUUAACAAAAACAAAACCUUUAAAAUUGUUACAGUCAAGCAGUUCCUACAAAAAUGUUGAAUUUAGCUUCAAGCAGUGCAAACGGACGCUUCUACAAGCCUCUUGGGUACCCCGUCUCCUCGUA